rnacentral:lncRNA from 1 species
GGGUUUAACUAUCAAUCCUAAUUUAGUCGAUCAUAUUAUAUUUUAACCUUUCAAAUCCAUGUCAUGGAUUAUCCUGGCCAAGAUUUUAUUAAAUUAAAAUAUACUUAUGCAUAUCUCCUACUAAUUCAGAGGGGUCAAUUCCAUCUUGACUCACACACCGACUUGAUAAGUACUUGACUGCACCCAGUAUUCUUUUAUCACUGAAUUAGAAACUAAGAUAGUUUUAUACUGAAGUAUAGUGAGU